rnacentral:sRNA from 1 species
UUUUUUAUCGCAAGUUUCCGUUAUAAUAUUGACGGUUAUUUUACCUGGUUGUUUCUUUUAAUCGCAUAUUUUUGUU